rnacentral:rRNA from 1 species
UACGAAGGGGACUAGCGUUGUUCGGAAUCACUGGGCGUAAAGCGCACGUAGGCGGAUGUGUCAGUCAGGGGUGAAAUCCCGGAGCUCAACUUCGGAACUGCCUUUGAUACAGCACGUCUUGAGUCCGAUAGAGGUGGGUGGAAUUCCUAGUGUAGAGGUGAAAUGCGUAGAUAUCCGGAGGAACACCGGUGGCGAAGGCGGCUUCCUGGACCGACACUGACGCUGAGGCGCGAAAGCUAGGGGAGCAAACGGG